rnacentral:rRNA from 1 species
AGUGAACGCUGGCGGUAGGCCUAACACAUGCAAGUCGAACGGCAGCACAGUAAGAGCUUGCUCUUACGGGUGGCGAGUGGCGGACGGGUGAGGAAUACAUCGGAAUCUACUUUUUCGUGGGGGAUAACGUAGGGAAACUUACGCUAAUAUCGCAUACGACCUACGGGUGAAAGCAGGGGAUCUUCGGACCUUGCGCGAUUGAAUGAGCCGAUGUCGGAUUAGUUGGUUGGCGGGGUAAAGGCCAACCAAGGCGAGGAUCGGUAGCUGGACUGGGAGAAGGAUCAGCCACACUGGAGCUGAGACACGGUCCAGGGACCUACGGGAGGCAGCAGUGGGGAAUAGUGGACAAAGGGCGGAAGCCUGAACCAGCCAUACCGCGUGGGUGAAGAAGGCCUUCGGGUUGUAAAGCCCUUUUGUUGGGAAAGAAAAGCAGCGGGUUAAUACCCGGCUGUUCGGACGGUACCCAAAGAAGAAGCACCGGCGAACUUCGG